UACGGAGGGUGCAAACGUUGCUCGGAAUCAUUGGGCGUAAAGCGCACGUAGGCGGCUCGUUAAGUCGGAUGUGAAAGCCCUGGGCUCAACCCAGGAAGUGCAUACGAAACUGGCGAGCUUGAAUGUGGAAGAGGGUCGCGGAAUUCCCGGUGUAGAGGUGAAAUUCGUAGAUAUCGGGAGGAACACCAGUGGCGAAGGCGGCGACCUGGGCCAACAUUGACGCUGAGGUGCGAAAGCGUGGGGAGCAAACAGGAUUGAGACU
rnacentral:rRNA from 1 species